ensembl:lncRNA
CUCAAUCCUAGUUGAACAGAUUUUUCUUGGUCUGUGCUCCUCUUUUAUCAGAUCCCCCAACUCCAUUGUUUUAUACAGCAGCAAGGCUGAGGUAGACUUUGAAACACUAAGGCCUGAUCUCAGUCUGCAGAUCAGCCUAUCUCAGGAGGAGCCUAAACCCAGAGGUAGGUAGGCUCUUCUGCCCUUCCCUCUCCCCACAGGCGGAGGUCCUGUCAGACCCUUCCUUCCUAAAGGGUAAGGCACUCACGAUUUGGGCGAUUCCCUGCCAUUGGGCUGGCAGGCUGCAGAAGAAAGGCGAAAACCUGACUGUUCCUCCUGCUGGCAAUGGCAAGGUGUAUUCCGAGUCUUGUGCCAACCGUUGGUGCCCUGCAGAGUGGUAACAAACAACAAGAGCUCCAUGCUUAGAGUCCAUCAAGGGACAGAGGCCAGGGAUAGGGGUGUCUUGUAAGUGUUGAUAAAGUACAUUAGAAGUGUGUGUGUGUGUGUGUGUGUGUGUGUGUGUGUGUGUGUGUGUGUGUGUAUACAUAUGUAUAUGUGAGGUGAGAGAGAGAGAGAGAUAAACUUUUUUUUUUAUUCCUGUGGGGUGUAUUAGUCACUUUUCUGUUGCUUUAAUAAAAUACCAUGAAUAAGAUGACUAAGGCAACUUACAGAAGAAAAGACGUGUGUGUGUGUGUGUGUGUGUGUGUGUGUGUGUGUGUGUGUGCACGUGUGUAUGGGACUUGCAGUUUUAGAGCGUUAGAAUCCAUAAUGGUGGGGACAGUAUGGCAUCAGGUAGCAGACAUGGUACCUCAAAUCACUAGCAUGAGUAUGAAAUGUAACAACCCCCCCCCACACAAACAUACACACAAACACAAACAUACAACACACACAAACAGAAAGAGAGACAGAGACAGACUGGGUAGGGUGCUAGGCUUUUCAACCUCAAAGCUCACCACCAGUUAUGUACCUCCUUCAAGGCUGUACCUCCUAUACCCCCUCUAAAAGCAUCAACUGGGGAUUGAGUGUUCAAAUGCAUGAGACAUUGGGAGGGGGGUCGUUCUCAUUCAAAGCGCAACUUGUGGCUUUUCUUUGAGGGCAAUUCCUCAGCAAGAGCAAAAGAGCAUCUCUAAGUCACUGCUGAGGUCAUACCAAGCUGGUGCAGUCUCCACAUCACGGAGAAUGGAGUCUUAGGAAGUGAGAUCUAGAUUAUACAGAUGUCCCAGUUAGGGAUAAAUUCUCUGCCAGCACUCGAUCUUGGUACGUUGGCCAGAUGAGAGUCUUCUUAUUAAUUCAGUCCGCUGCAGUAAGAAGAUUGUUGAUGAAGUGGAAAUUAGCACCAAUAUAUGCAAGCACAUAUAAAUAUUUGGAGGGCAGUUUGACCAUGCGUCCAUCCAGCAAAACAGUGGUGGUAGGUUCUUCCCUUUUAGAUGGAGUACUCCAAAGGUCACUGUUAAAUCCAGCUGAUCGAUUUGAUAGGUAAGCUCUCACGUUUCUUGUUGAUUUUUAGUUUGGAAGAUCUAUCUAAAGAUGAGAGUGGGGCGCUGAAGUUUUCCACUAUUGCUUUUGAGCACUUAUCUGACCUUUCAUGCCUCUUUAGUGUUUUAUACAAUUGGGAGUCCCCAAAUUUUGUACACGUAUAUUUAUAAUUUUACUUUGUUGAAUGUUUACUUAUCUUUAUUAAUAUGUAGUGACCUUUGUUAUCUCUUCUUGCUAAUUUUGACUUGAAGUCUAUAAGAUUAACGACACCAGUUUGUCUUUGGGUUCCAUUUGCUUGCCGGCUUGACUUCCAUUCUUUGAUGGCUGCCUGUAGCAUACAUCUCUCUUGAACCAGCUCUGCUCUGUGCCCACAGCUCUCCUUGGUAGAUAUCCUGUGGUCUUGGCAAUUCCAAAAUCCUG